rnacentral:sRNA from 1 species
GCCAGGUGAGGUGGUGCAUGCCUGUAAUCCCAGCAGCUCAGGAAGCUGAGGCAGGAGGAUCUUGAGCAAUUUAGCGAGGCCCUAAGAAACUUAGUGAGACUCUGUCUCUA